AACGAACGCUGGCGGCAUGCCUAACACAUGCAAGUCGAACGAGACCUUCGGGUCUAGUGGCGUACGGGUGCGUAACGCGUGGGAACCUGCCCUUAGGUUCGGAAUAACUCCCCGAAAGGGGUGCUAAUACCGGAUAAUGUCUUCGGACCAAAGAUUUAUCGCCUUUGGAUGGGCCCGCGUUGGAUUAGCUAGUUGGUAGGGUAAAAGCCUACCAAGGCGACGAUCCAUAGCUGGUCUGAGAGGAUGAUCAGCCACACUGGGACUGAGACACGGCCCAGACUCCUACGGGAAGCAGCAGUGGGGAAUAUUGGACAAUGGGCGAAAGCCUGAUCCAGCAAUGCCGCGUGAGUGAUGAAGGCCUUAGGGUUGUAAAGCUCUUUUACCCGGGAUGAUAAUGACAGUACCGGGAGAAUAAGCUCCGGCUAACUCCGUG
rnacentral:rRNA from 1 species